CAUCAGUUUCNGUCGGAGGAGAAAGACUUGGGGAAGGUGGCAGCAUUCGUGCUGUGUUAUAGCCCCUUGUUGUAUACUUCGACUGGGACUGAGGAUCGCAGCACGCCUUUGGCCGGGGUUCGCCCACGUACGUGCUUAGGAUGUUGGCAUAAUGGCUUUAAGCGACCCGUCUUGAAACACGGACCAAGGAGUCUAACAUGUGUGCGAGUGUUUGGGUGUCAAACUCGGACGCGAAAUGAAAGUGAAAAGUUGGGAACACUUAUGUGUGCACCGACGCCCGGAGCUGACCUUCUGUGACGCAUCUGCGGUAGAGCNUAUAUGUUGGGACCCGAAAGAUGGUGAACUAUGCCUGAAUAGGGUGAAGCCAGAGGANACUCUGGUGGAGGCUCGUANCGAUUCUGACGURCAAAUCGAUCCUCAAACNNGGGUAUAGGGGCGAAAGACUAAUCGAACCAU
rnacentral:rRNA from 1 species